rnacentral:rRNA from 1 species
GACGAACGCUGGCGGCGUGCUUAACACAUGCAAGUCGAACGGUAAGGCCCUUCGGGGUACACGAGUGGCGAACGGGUGAGUAACACGUGGGUGAUCUGCCCUGCACUUCGGGAUAAGCCUGGGAAACUGGGUCUAAUACCGGAUAGGACUCCGGACUGCAUGGUCUGGGGUGGAAAGCUUUUGCGGUGUGGGAUGGGCCCGCGGCCUAUCAGCUUGUUGGUGGGGUGAUGGCCUACCAAGGCGACGACGGGUAGCCGGACUGAGUGGGUGACCGGCCACACUGGGACUGAGAUACGGCCCAGACUCCUACGGGAGGCAGCAGUGGGGAAUAUUGCACAAUGGGCGGAAGCCUGAUGCAGCGACGCCGCGUGAGGGAUGACGGCCUUCGGGUUGUAAACCUCUUUCAGCAUCGACGAAGCGAAAGUGACGGUAGGUGCAGAAGAAGGACCGGCCAACUACGUGCCAGCAGCCGCGGUAA